CAGGUUAAAAAAUGAAGAGUUUACCUAUUCCUGUAAAAAGAUUCAGUAAACUCUAAAAGAAUAAGGUAUCUUCCAGCCUUCACUGAUAACUGAUCAUCCACUAAAACACACAGGUAAUGACCAUCUGUAGUGGAAAUGCUAAGUGACGGCCUGAACCAGUGAUUGAGCGCCUGCUGGGAAGGCAGGGCCAACCCAGGGGAGCUCAGGUGCAUGCAAUGCAUCUGAGUGACGGAAGGGGAGGAGCCAGGAUCCGCCCCUUUCCAGACCUUAUUUACAGGUUGGCAGUGGAGGCAAAGGCAUAUUGCUGGAGCUCCCUACUUAUUGGAGGCCUUCCAAGGAUGCCUUGCAAUGUGUUGAUGAUCUUUUUAGAGCCCAAUGAAGAUUUUGGAACAGCAAAUAUCAUGUCAGAGUCCUCAAAGCCCUGUCAAGAGGAGAAAGAAAUUAGAAAACAAGUCCAUGCGUGUGUGCAUGCUCGUGAGACUAAAUUCUUGUGAAAUACUGGACCUGACUGCUGAGUUCAUAAAAGCAAGGGGAGAAAAUGGGAAGAACCAGAAUGAGAAAUCUCCUGGGCUGAGUUGAAGAUGGGGAAAUUGCUCACUGGUAACUGUCAUGGACAGAACACACUCAACCUUACCUAAUCUUAAGGCUCGGUUUUACGCUUUUGCUCCAGGCUACCAACUCACCACACCAAGUGGUGCAGCAGCAGAUGGGCAGAGGAACCUCUCAUCACACAGAUAUACAUUGUAUAAACCCUGUGAAGAAAAGUCAUAAUCUGUAUGUUCAUACUUUUUUGAAAAACUUGAAAAGAAACAUGUUUAUCAAAAAGAACUUAAUUUUGGGACGCCAGAUAUUCUUUUCUUAUCCAAUAGGUUGUAUAGGAAACAGGAUAGCUUUGUGGAAACAGGAACAUUUACUGCUUCAGAAGGAAUAAAAAAGCCAUCAUGUCUUAAAACA